rnacentral:rRNA from 1 species
UACAGAGGUCUCAAGCGUUGUUCGGAUUCAUUGGGCGUAAAGGGUGCGUAGGUGGUGAGGUAAGUCGGAUGUGAAAUCUCCGAGCUCAACUCGGAAACUGCAUUGGAAACUACCUUGCUAGAGGGUUUGAGGGGGGACUGGAAUACUUGGUGUAGCAGUGAAAUGCGUAGAUAUCAAGUGGAACACCAGUGGCGAAGGCGAGUCCCUGGAAAACUCCUGACACUGAGGCACGAAAGCUAGGGGAGCAAACAGG